GCCGCGUGUGUGAAGAAGGCCUUCGGGUUGUAAAGCACUUUUGUCCGGAAAGAAAUCCUUGGCUCUAAUACAGUCGGGGGAUGACGGUACCGGAAGAAUAAGCACCGGCUAACUACGUGCCAGCAGCCGCGGUAAUACGUAGGGUGCAAGCGUUAAUCGGAAUUACUGGGCGUAAAGCGUGCGCAGGCGGUUUGCUAAGACCGAUGUGAAAUCCCCGGGCUCAACCUGGGAACUGCAUUGGUGACUGGCAGGCUAGAGUAUGGCAGAGGGGGGUAGAAUUCCACGUGUAGCAGUGAAAUGCGUAGAGAUGUGGAGGAAUACCGAUGGCGAAGGCAGCCCCCUGGGCCAAUACUGACGCUCAUGCACGAAAGCGUGGGGAGCAAACAGGAUUAGAUACCCUGGUAGUCCACGCCCUAAACGAUGUCAACUAGUUGUUGGGGAUUCAUUUCCUUAGUAACGUAGCUAACGCGUGAAGUUGACCGCCUGGGGAGUACGGUCGCAAGAUUAAAACUCAAAGGAAUUGACGGGGACCCGCACAAGCGGUGGAUGAUGUGGAUUAAUUCGAUGCAACGCGAAAAACCUUACCUACCCUUGACAUGGUCGGAAUCCUGNCGAGAGGCGGGAGUGCUCGAAAGAGAACNGGCGCACAGGUGCUGCAUGGCUGUCGNCAGCUCGUGUCGUGAGAUGNUGGGUUAAGUCCCGCAACGAGCGCACCNUUGGUCUUAGUUGCUAC
rnacentral:rRNA from 1 species